rnacentral:rRNA from 1 species
AUUGAACGCUGGCGGCAGGCCUAACACAUGCAAGUCGAGCGAGCGGAGGACGGGUGAGUAAUGUAUGGGGACUGCCCGUUAGAGGGGGAUAACUACUCGAAACGGUAGCUAAUACCGCAUACCAUCGGAUAACCCUUAUGGGAUUAGCUAGUAGGUGAGGUAAUGGCCCACCUAGGCGACGAUCCCUAGCUGGUCUGAGAGGAUAAUCAGCCACACUGGGACUGAGACACGGCCCAGACUCCUACGGAGGCAGCAGUUGGGAAUAUUGCACAAUGGGCGCAAGCCUGAUGCAGCCAUGCCGCGUGUAUGAAGAAGGCCCUAGGGUUGUAAAGUACUUUCAGUCGGGAGGCGUUACCGACAGAAGAAGCACCGGCUAACUCCGUGCCAGCCGCCGCGGUAAUAC